GGACUCUCUUCGCACACGACGUUCCACCGACCUAUUGGAUCCAGAAUAACAUAGUACCACCUCGCCUAUCGACCCAAAAACGCAUAGAAGGGGAGGACUAUAUAAGGAGACCCCCUCUGGCCCCUGGAGGAGACAAGAAAUUACCAUAGAGAUUGAGGGGUGCCCUCGAAGGAAAACCUCUUCUCUAAAUAAUAUUUCUUUUUAGGCUUAGCAACCAAUGUAAAGUAGAAAUAGAUCUUCUAGUUUCUACUAGAUUGAGAGAGAUAGAGUGGAGGUGUGGAUCGGAGGAAGGCCGGCCUGUCGGUGUCUACUCCGAGUUGUACCUACGGGAUCAAGUCUCCUAACCCGAGGCUUGCUUCUAAGAUUCUUCAGUAAUUCGACUUCUAAUACUAGUAAGUUCUUGUUUUAUUGUUCUUUGGUUUAUGAGUUUACUUUAAUCCUCUUCUAGUUGAGUAUUAGAGUAAUCACUUGUUAGCGUAAACGUGGUGUUUAGGCUAGGGUACUCAUAGAUAUCCCCUGACUAGCUGGACCGUGGUAGUAGCGAGGAACGUGACAAUUCCGAGUUACCUUUGCAGAUCACAUCUCGUUAGCAGGACGGGUAGGGUUAUAGGUGCGGGUCGAACAUCCUUUGUGUUGUCUAGAUUCCGUGAGCCUCCCCAAUAGAACAGUAGAUUAUCCUUACCAAGGUUAGAACGAGACUACGGUUGCAGUCUUCUCUAUACAUCACUCACAUCGAGAGACAUUCUUUGUAGCCUAAAGGGGUAGUAGCAAUAGAUUUGGUUAGUCAGAUGCACCCUUUCUCCCAGUGGUAAAAAUAUAAAUACGAUACUCUAGAAAACCUCCCGGGUGAAAUGCUCACCGAUAUCCGUGCGCUUGCGGAUCAUUUUCUAAUUGCGUUACCAAAUAUCAACAAGCAUUUCUGGCACCGUUGCCGGGGAGAAAGACGGUUUGCUGAGAUAACUUUGAGUCUUACUAUUAUCUUGUAUUAUACUUUUAUACUUUUAUUCUUUUAUCUUUUUUAUUUUUAUCUUUAUGGAUAACUCAAAUUCCAUACCUAUUAUUAAAUUCUUUGCACCUUCGGAGACCAGCCAUAGACCAUGGGAGUCAACACGUCCUGCCCCUAAUUAUGAUCUGUGUCCGGAGUUGAUUGCAAUAGGUCAAAACCAACCCUUUUCUAUAGCUGAGGUCCUAUCUUUUAAUCAAAAAGAUAAUGCACUUUUAGCUACACCUAGGGAAUCUAUUAAUCUUUUUAUAAAUUCUGGUUUAGACCUAGCCCUACAAGACCAUGUUUUUUCUCGAUAUUUUCACAUUGGUCUUAAUCAUAUAACCUUUGGUAGAGUCUUUCUUUCUUUAUCUAUUAGUAAAGGAAGGUAUGUCUUCAUUUGUGGACAUCCUUCUUGUACUAGUCUUCAUAGAAAAAACAUAGAGAUAGAGAAGGAAUCAUCUCCCAGACGAGGAAAGGAAGUUUCAAUAGCCAAUUUCCAAAUAUUUCAAUCCCAUAAUUCGGCUAUCCAUCCCAUCCUUGAGCUUAAUAAAUUCUACUAUGCUCUUUCUCUUCAACCUCCCGAUAAUCCUAUGAAUUUCUCUAGACAUCCCCUGCAUAAGAAGGAGGAUCGAGAAGAGCAACAUCAAUGGCUAGAGGGCAUUAAAAAUCCAUGUGCUAUCACCAUUGAAUGGAUAGAUAAAACAAACUUGAGAGACAAUCCUAGAGGAAUUUUAAACAUUCAUGAAGAAUCGUCCUUGGAGUUUGAGAAUGAGAGAAACAACAGUGAGCAUGGAAGUUAUUUCAUAAAUACCUCACCCCGUCCUUGCUCAUAUAAAACAUCUCUCCAAUCAAUUAGUCUCUCCAUCCUUAUCACAUUUGAGAUCUCCAACCCUCUCUUCUUUUCUAUUUAUAAAAACUUUAAAAGAGUGGUUGUCGAUGCAUAUGUCUAUAAUAAAUAUUGCAGAUCUCAUUGAGUUAAUUGAUGGUUUCCCAAGGACAAGCUUAGUGUCCUAAAACAAGCACUUCUAAUUAUUUGCAACAUUGCCUUGUGUAUUGAGCAUAUUGUAGAAAUAUUCCUUCGGGUAUUCUUGUCACUAACCUUUCCAGGAUUGGAGCAAGAAGAUCGGAUGAAUAACAAGCACAAGGUAUGUCCAACCAACCAUCACACAACAUUGAAUUAAAUUCAUCCAAACUUGAAUUUUGCAAAAUUCAAGCUUGGGGGAGUACUUUACAUAAAAACAUCCUUUGCCAUGUUGCUACGUUGGUUGUCCCUACCUUUGAGAGAUGCUCAAUUUGUUAAGUACUAAUUACACUACUUCACCUCCACUUGAGUAGAUCGCUAUAAAUGCUCUCAUGCUACCUUUAUUUGCUUUAGUAUAUGUCUAGGUUUGGAGUAGUUUCAUUUAUCUCUUAAAUCAAGCAUGGUGCUUAGUUUAGGAAUGAUGAUCUUACUUCCAAAGGAUUUUUAAAUUAAGCAUGGUGCUUAGGUUAAAAUGCCCUCCUAAAUCAAAUUAGACAUGGUGUCUAGGUUGAUUUUUGAGCCGAUAGUAUGCUAUAGUAGAUAUGGGAUAUUUUGUUGGACUAACCCCUGCAGGAAAACUUUCAAUAUCAACCUGGGAAGUCCUGAGAUACAAACUCAUUGGAGAUAAAGGAGACACAUGAAGUUUAACAAUUUGCACAAGAAGGACAUAGCUCAUUCAUCACAAAGAGAUGAUCCAUGGAGGGUGCCACAAACACGAUACACAACCGCUAAGAAAGGAAAGCUUCCACAAGGUGAUACUGUACCAUCACUCUUCAAGUAAGGUAACAUCUUAAGGUACUUGACCAACACUUUUAUAAGCUUCUCAUUGGUUCUGGCAUUCACAUAAAUAAAGAGACAAACAUGUAUGAUUUAUAACUCCAAAUUAACCAACCCAAUUAAUUCAACAUGUUUAGUCCUUUAAUCUUUGUUCUUAGUACUACCUUCAUGAUCCCACACUCCUAAUCAUAUAAGCUAAAGUAUUGCACAUUCAAUCUUUGAAAGAUAUAAACAAAACAUAAAUAUAGAUAGAUUAUCUUUCCAUUAGGUUGAGCUAUCUGAUCUAACAAAUGUUUUAAAUGCUACACUCAUGAUCCAUCAACUUUGUCUUGCUCACUAUGCUUAAGGUUAGAGAAGAACAAAUACACUUUUGGUUCUGUUGGUGUUUUCCACCAACAGGGCCCAUGCACUUGAUCUCUGCCUUGUCUCUAUGAGCAGGACACAUUUUGAGAAACGUGAAGGCGUUUUACAACUCCCAGAUUCCAUCAAGUGAAGAACCGGGAUCUACGAGCACAAACACAAUGGAGAUCAGACACUUAGUUUCCCAAAGGAAAUAUUGAAGAACCUCUGUGUCCGAGUUGGUACCUUGUACACUCCAGCAAACUUCGUGGUGAUAGAGACUGGCACUGAGGAGAGGGCACCCAUCAUCUUAGGGAGGCCAUUCCUAAACACCAGAGCUGUCAUCUACGCUAAUGCUGCCAAGAUCAGUCUCUACAUCAAGGGGAAGAAGGAGACUUUCCUUCAAGAACAAGACUACACAAACUUCAGAGCAAUCCUGACAUGAACCAAGGAAGAGGACCAACAGGAGGAACAAGAACAAGCAAAUGUGGACCGAGUCAGCUAAGAUGGUCACUGCAGUUCAAGGAGGUCAAGAUCGUCGACUCAAGUCACCUUUCUUGAUCAAGAAGGACGACCCUGGUGUUCCAAGAAUCGAAUGCACAAACAAUGGAUACUCUUUUUAGAAGACACUCUACGACACCGGAUCUGACGUCAACAUAAUGGCUUGAGUCACUUAUCAGCUCCUGCAUGGAACCAUGCCCCUACAACCAAUAUAUAUUCAGCUCCAGAUGAUUUUCAGAUCAUUGACAUGGGAGAAGACGAGUAUGAUCCACCCACCAUCCUUGGAAGACCGUUCCUCAACACUAUCAAAGCCAUCAUCUAUAUUGAAACCGGAGAAGUCCACAUACACUUCUCCUCUAAGAAGGACAAGAAGAAGACAACGCAACCGCAACCAGAUGAGACAAAUCAUCAAGGACGGAUGGGUAGACUACGAAGGAGAAGUGAUAAGGUCUGAAGACAUACAGCUUGAACAGAACUGUCCUGAGGAGACCGUAGCACCGAGGCAGGUGUGGAGGGAGAACAUAGUUAUACACGAAAAGAAGGCGCCGCCAGAAUCACCGACUACGCCACCUAGCGAAUCCCAGGACGACUGAAAACACAAGGAGUCCCGUUCGGAGGACUUAAAAACACCGAACGCCUUGCCAAGAGGUAAACUUGGUAGUUAUCAUUUUCCUUUCAAUUAUUCAAUUAUAGUUUGCUUAGUUAAUCAGGUUCAUUCUAUCUUGAAAAGAAAAUAAUAAUGUUAAAAAAAAUAUAUAGUAAGCCCCAUGUGAGUAUGCUCAUGGCAUAAAACCCAUAAGUACAUUCACUGUGGUGGCAUAAAAAUAAAAUAAAUAAGUUUUCAUCUUAUAAUAAAAAUAUAAAAAUAAUAAGUGCAUGAUCCUGCUAAAUAAGUAACAUUUAUUGAGAAGCCUCAACAUGAUAAAGGCUAGAUAUUUAUGCUAACACUUAACCAGUUCCACAAAGCUUUGUUGUCUAUUUGAGCUCCACAUAAUUCAAGGAUCAAAAAAGACUAGCAGACGGAGGACAUCCUAAUCACUGUCAGGGUGCUGCCGACUUUCAAAUACACCUCCACCACCUGCUAGCUACAUCAGAAGAAAUUACGUCAAAAUUCAGCUUGGGGGAGAGCACCCCCAUUUAUCUCGAUAAGUAUUUCUAUCUAUCUUUAUACUUAUAUUAUUUUAGAAUAUAAAUACACAUAAACUAUGGAAAACCAAAUAAAGAUUUUAUGCUUAUAUAUAUGUCUUUUGCUUAGUGUGUUUAAUAAAUAAAUAAAGUAGCUAUGCCAAUCUGAAUCUUAAUAAUAAAACUUAAGCAUAGAUACGAUGAAUAGUUGCUCUGCCUAAUUUGCAAAUUUGAAGUUCUCUCUCAAGUUUAGAUAUAACUGUUAUAAUUUAAAGCUUGCCCUAGACCUAAACUUGUGGGAUGAAAACUUGAUCUGAAGUCUAAGUUGUUAACGGAUACGAUAUGGGAAGGUUGAGCUGUUGUUUAUCUGUUCCUAGAGAUGCUAGAAUUCUGGAGAAUUUUAUCUUUGAAAAGUCUUUAAAAUAACACAUGAUGAGUUCCUGUAUGAUGAGAGUUUAAAUUCCUACCACAGCUAUAUAUACAUGCUUAUUAGACUUUGAGCCACACAUUUACUAUUUACUGCUUAUGAGCAUUGAGUGUGGUCAAGCUGUGUAGACCCUUAGGAGCUUGUCAUGUGGUUAAAUCAAGAUUUCACUUGCACGUUCACUCAUAUAUGCUACUUCUACUCCGGAAGUACCAUCCACAUAUAUCCACCCAUUCCAUCUCCAGAAUCACCCAAAAAUAUUCUACUCCUAACCCGGAGAGAAUAACCAAAAAUAUUUCUAUUUUCCCCUUGUGAAAUAAAUGCUCAAGUUAUCUUGUUACUACCACUUGCUAUAUUAUCUCAAGAGAUGAAUGCUCUGAAAAAAAAGAGAAAAAAAGAGAUACGAGGAAAUAAAAAGGAGCAAGUGCUCGGAACCUCGAAAGAAAAGAAAAAGUGAGACGAGAGGUAAAAAUGGACAAGUGUCCGACAAUAGAAUUAGGGGUACAAGAUACCCACCUGAGAGGUAAGAAAAAGAAAAUAUAGAGCAUCUCAUUCUCCCCAAAAAGCUUUUAAGUGCAAGAAAGGUAUGUAUCCCCUUAAAAGAGCAAAAGUAGAAUUAGACUUUCACCAUUGUUAUCUCCAUCAUCACCAUACACCAUUCACUCGCCACACAUGCACAUCUUGAUUUGGCUUAUUGAUUUGUUUCUUUGGAUCCAUGGUUUGACUAUGCAAUAAAUGUCUUGUAAGUAUGUAUACUUUAUCUCCCACCUAUGAGCUCCAGAUAUUAAAGCCUUAUUAGAGUAGGGUGAGAGAGAAGACAAUGUCACUAUGCUUCAUACCACAAAUACUACAUAUCUUGAGAGAAGGCAUAUACCAUCACUGCCUUGGUAAGGAUCCAAAAAUACCACAAAAGAGAGACCAGAGAGAAUCAUACAAGGAAUCUCUGAGUUUUAUUUGAAAAUCUUCAAAAACCCCAGAGCUAUAGCUGAGCAAGAAUGAGAGACAUGGCACUUGACUAGACUGUUCUAUCUUUUAACCACUCAAGACAGAAGUGACGGUUACAAGUCCCAUGGUGAAGGUAAAGUAAGUAAGUUUUAAGUCUUGACAGUUUAUUCUAACUCAGAGAUGAGAUCUUGUUUGAAUGCGUGUGUACUUUUAAGAAAUGAAACCACUGCAGAAACUCUCGAGUUCAUCCUUGCUGAGGGACGAGCAAGAGGUAAGCUUGGGGGAGUUUGUUGACGGUCCUUAAGUAUCAAAUUUAAUUAUCAAAUAAACAAAGAAAAGGAACCAAAUGAAAUCAACAUCUAGACUUAGGGUUUUAUCUGACAGAAUUCCACGAGUUUUGGUGUUUGUCUAUUUCUGCAGGGGGUUAUCAGGAAAUAAGGAAGAAAGGCCCACAUGUCGGGAUUACAUAGAAAUAUCAACCCACCGCAAAAUUUUCUACCAUCUAGAAGACUCCAGAAGCCACGGGAAGGAAGCGGAGCCCGAAAGGGGCCAGGCCCAGGGCGCCCGCCCUGAGGACCUGGGCGCCCGCCCACCUCUGGACUCCGUUCCGGACUCUCUUCGCACACGACGUUCCACCGACCUAUUGGAUCCAGAAUAACAUAGUACCACCUCGCCUAUCGACCCAAAAACGCAUAGAAGGGGAGGACUAUAUAAGGAGACCCCCUCUGGCCCAAAGAGGAGACAACAAAUUAUCAUAGAGAUUGAGGGGUGCCCUCGAAGGAAAACCUCUUCUCUAAAUAAUAUUUCUUUUUAGGCUUAGCAACCAAUGUAAAGUAGAAAUAGAUCUUCU
rnacentral:lncRNA from 1 species